AGAAUCAACGCUGGCGGCGUGCCUAACACAUGCAAGUCGAACGAGAAAGUGGAGCAAUCCAUGAGUAAAGUGGCGCACGGGUGAGUAACACGUGACUAACCUACCCUUGAGUGGGGAAUAACUUCGGGAAACCGAGGCUAAUACCGCAUAACACCUACGGGUCAAAGGAGCAAUUCGCUUAAGGAGGGGGUCGCGGCAGAUUAGUUAGUUGGCGGGGUAAUGGCCCACCAAGACGGUGAUCUGUAUCCGGCCUGAGAGGGCGCACGGACACACUGGAACUGAAACACGGUCCAGACUCCUACGGGAGGCAGCAGUGGGGAAUUUGCGCAAUGGGGGAAACCCUGACGCAGCAACGCCGCGUGGAGGAUGAAGUCCCUUGGGACGUAAACUCCUUUCGAUCGGGACGAUUAUGACGGUACCGGAAGAAGAACGCCCGGCUAACUUCGUGCCAGCAGCCGC
rnacentral:rRNA from 1 species